ncrna:unclassified sequences RT-18 RNA
CACCCCUUGGUGCAGAUUAGCCAACAGGACACGGUUUAGUACACUCCCGCAACCGGCGGGAGCGGGGGGAAGAUCGUGAGGCUAAAAGGAG